GCGCUCCGGUACUCGCUGCUCGCGGCUGGCCGGCUCGGGAUUCCGGGCUUUCUUCCCGAGACCGCGUCCCCCAGCUGGGCCGAAGGUGGACGCUCAGGGGCUGGAGGCUCAGCGGAAUCCCCUGCGUUCAGUAGCCCCGCUCUCCCCUGUCCCGAAGGAUUACUCUGCCCCUCAGCGGUUCCAGUGCCCUCAAAGCAAUCUGUCUCUGAAGUACUGGCUAUCUUCUGAGCGUGUGCCAGAAGAUCCAGCUUUGUUGAAAAGCGAAGCCGUUAGUCCCUUAAUACAAAGGAGACAAAUUGAUUUAUGCCUGGGGCACCAUCACCAAAAGAAGAGGAAAUGGAUGCAAGCCUUCCCAGAACAACAGGCGUGCCCUGAAUUCUUUCUUGGGCGAGAUCCACGAACCGUCUCUUGGGGUCUGGAUUGGGACCCCUUUCCGGUAACAAGAAGAAGUGAAAUGUGCACUUAUGAGCCUGGAUCUUCAGACACAGAGCUGUGCCUCCUUCACACUCUCUUUUCCCUUCCCUCCAUCUAGAAUCCAUAUACUUUUAUCAUAUUAUGCAGAUAAUGACAAUGCAGAGCU
rnacentral:lncRNA from 10 species